GACGUAGGGCGCGAGCGUUGUCCGGAUUUAUUGGGCGUAAAGAGCUCGUAGGCGGUCUGUCGCGUCGGCUGUGAAAACCCGCGGCUCAACCUCGGGCCUGCAGUCGAUACGGGCAGACUAGAGUGCGGUAGGGGAGACUGGAAUUCCUGGUGUAGCGGUGAAAUGCGCAGAUAUCAGGAGGAACACCGGUGGCGAAGGCGGGUCUCUGGGCCGUAACUGACGCUGAGGAGCGAAAGCGUGGGGAGCGAACAGG
rnacentral:rRNA from 1 species